rnacentral:rRNA from 1 species
GACAGAGGUGCCAAGCGUUAGGCGGAAUCACUGGGCUUAAAGCGUGUGUAGGCGGGUCUCUAAGUGCCUUGUGAAAUCCCACGGCUCAACCGUGGAACUGCUGGGCAUACUGGAGGUCUUGAGCCACCUAGGGGCGAGCGGAACGAAUGGUGGAGCGGUGAAAUGCGUAGAUAUCAUUCGGAACGCCAAUGGUGAAAACAGCUCGCUGGGGGUGUGCUGACGCUGAG